UCUGAGGAGCGGGGAAAGGGCGGGCGGGUUGCAGAGGGCGCGAGGCGUCGGAGGCGAUCGGGGACUCAGGGGAUGGAAUCAGGGCCUGGCUGGUAGGGAUGAGUGCGUGGAGGAGAUGGGUGGCUUGAGGAGGGGGUCGGGUUAAGAUAGGCCUAGGGGCCCUUGGAGGGCUGCUGCGGGGUUCUGAGGCAGGGUUUUCCUCCGCCUGGUGCUGGGCCUUCCUGGCACUUCAGCUUAUGGUUACUGUAUCUUACAUGCAAAGCAGCUUUCGCCUCUUAGCUGUAACAGCAAGCACUGCGGAGGAGACAGAAGAUGCUGCUCCUGUGGAUGAGUAACACAUAAGCCAGCUCCUUCUACCUGCUGCACUCCUGUGUGCGAGGUGGAGUUUUAAGUUUGAAGCCAAGGGAGCAGCAGUAAAAGGCGCAGCAAUAAAAGGGGUCUUUGUGUGCAGCAGGAGAUACAUGCUGAUUGAGCAGCAGUGUUCAGGAAGAAGAAAUGGAGAGCUUUUCCUUCUCCAUUUCUCAUUCGGCUUUGUCACACAUGCAGCUGAACACACAAGCUAUGAAGGAGUGAAAGCCAGCACACUGAUGGCACCAAGUACCACCUCUACAGCACUGCUCUGUCAGGGAGUUGAGUAUAAAUAACUUUGGGUUAUUUAUUUAUUAAAUAAAAGUUAUUUAUUUGCGUUGAGUAUAAGCAGGUAGACCUACAGUUAUAUACAGAAGGAAAAGUCAACUCACCCAGCCAGUGGAGGGGCUCUCUGGCUGUGCAGCACUCCUCAAACAGCAGUCUAAGUCCAAAGGAUGUUCUCCUUUCUCUAGCUAGCUCCAACAUGUGCUACUUCUGGGUUCACCCCUUCCCGUUACGUGGGGAGAUGUAAUUUGUGCUUCCUGUGUCAGCCACAACCCUUCCUUAUGUCUUCAGUCCAGCCUUGGACUGACGUGGUGUUUUGUUUUUGUUUGUUCUUCUUUCUUUCUUCUUUUCUAGAAGCAAACAAGCAUCUGGAACUAGAACUUUUUCUGUGCUAUUUUCUGAUCUGGGAGCAGAUUUCUCGUUGAAUGGAAACGGAUUUGCCCAAAGCAAUGAUGAGUGAAGUAUUCUCUGAACUGGUAUUGCUGAGACUUUUAGUCUUUGCUCUGACCAGGGCAUGAUCACGUAAUCUUCUCUCUGAGCUUAUUUAGGCUAAACUCUUCUAGAGCAAACAACUUUGCUGCUGCUUGAAAUCCAAAAAAAUAGUUUUGGUGCCAGCUUUAUGUUCGUUUCUCUCUGCUUGUGGAAAAGGAAGCUUCUAUGGGGGAUGUAUCCAGGAGUACAGUUACAGUGAUUCCCUUCUGAGGACAAAUCACGUUGUUUCUGAUGAGGAAGAAUGGAAGGCAACUCAAUUGUUAGUGCUUUUUUUUUCUUUCUUUCUUUGUCUAGAUUUGCUCAGAACGUGGCUUAGCUUUGCUGGGUGUUCUAAAAAAGAUUUGCAAAUCAAAUUCUGACAACGACGUGCUGUGCAACUCCAGUGCCACUGUUAACGUUGAUGUAAUUGUAUUAAUAAUACCAUGCACUGAGGAUACUUUGGUUGUGACCAUAGACCUCAGUUAAUAUGUAAACUCCAAGGUUGGUUUAAUAAAGCUGGUGGUCCUUUACAAA